UACGUAGGGGGCAAGCGUUGUCCGGAUUCAUUGGGCGUAAAGAGCGUGUAGGCGGCCAGGUAGGUCGGUUGUGAAAACUGGAGGCUCAACCUUCAGAGGUCGACCGAAACCAUCUGGCUAGAGUCCGGGAGAGGAGAGUGGAAUUCCUGGUGUAGCGGUGAAAUGCGCAGAUAUCAGGAGGAACACCGGUGGCGAAGGCGGUUCUCUGGGCAUGACCUGACGCUGAGGAGCGAAAGUGUGGGGAGCGAACAGG
rnacentral:rRNA from 1 species